rnacentral:sRNA from 1 species
UUGAAUCCUAUCAGCGCCUAAAUAAUAAG